AGCAUGUGUUAAUUCGAUGCAACGCGAAGAACCUUACCUGGUCUUGACAUCCACGGAAGUUUUCAGAGAUGAGAAUGUGCCUUCGGGAACCGUGAGACAGGUGCUGCAUGGCUGUCGUCAGCUCGUGUUGUGAAAUGUUGGGUUAAGUCCCGCAACGAGCGCAACCCUUAUCCUUUGUUGCCAGCGGUCCGGCCGGGAAACUCAAAGGAGACUGCCAGUGAUAAACUGGAGGAAGGUGGGAUGACGUCAAGUCAUCAUGGCCCUUACGACCAGGGCUACACACGUGCUACAAUGGCGCAUACAAAGAGAAGCGACCUCGCGAGAGCAAGCGGACCUCAUAAAGUGCGUCGUAGUCCGGAUUGGAGUCUGCAACUCGACUCCAUGAAGUCGGAAUCGCUAGUAAUCGUGGAUCAGAAUGCCACGGUCGAAUACGUUCCCGGGCCUU
rnacentral:rRNA from 1 species